rnacentral:rRNA from 1 species
GACAGAGGGUGCAACGUUGUUCGGAAUUACUGGGCGUAAAGGGCUCGUAGGCGGCCAACUAAGUCAGACGUGAAAAUCCCAUCGGCUUAAACCGGGGAACUGCGUCUGAUACUGGAUGGCUUGAGUUUGGGAGAGGGACGCGGAAGUUCCAGGUGGUAGCGGUGAAAUGCGUAGAUAUCUGGAGGAACACCGGUGGCGAAGGCGGCGUCCUGGGACCAACACUGACACUGGAGGAGCGGAAAGCCAGGGGAGCAAACCGGGGAGUUA